GAUGAACGCUGGCGGCGUGCUUAACACAUGCAAGUCGAACGGAAAGGCCACAGCUUGCUGUGGUACUCGAGUGGCGAACGGGUGAGUAACACGUGGGUGAUCUGCCCUGUACUUCGGGAUAAGCUUGGGAAACUGGGUCUAAUACCGGAUAGGAAUCACAUGUGGGUGUGUGGUUGGAAAGCUUUUGCGGUAUGGGAUGAGCUCGCGGCCUAUCAGCUUGUUGGUGGGGUAAUGGCCUACCAAGGCGUCGACGGGUAGCCGGCCUGAGAGGGUGUACGGCCACAUUGGGACUGAGAUACGGCCCAGACUCCUACGGGAGGCAGCAGUGGGGAAUAUUGCACAAUGGGCGCAAGCCUGAUGCAGCGACGCCGCGUGGGGGAUGACGGCCUUCGGGUUGUAAACUCCUUUCGUCAGGGACGAAGCGAAAGUGACGGUACCUGGAUAAGAAGCACCGGCUAACUACGUGCCAGCAGCCGCGGUAAUACGUAGGGUGCGAGCGUUGUCCGGAAUUACUGGGCGUAAAGAGCUCGUAGGUGGUUUGUCGCGUCGUUUGUGUAAGUCCACGGCUUAACUGUGGGAUGGCAGGCGAUACGGGCAUAACUUGAGUGCUGUAGGGGAGACUGGAAUUCCUGGUGUAGCGGUGAAAUGCGCAGAUAUCAGGAGGAACACCGAUGGCGAAGGCAGGUCUCUGGGCAGUAAC
rnacentral:rRNA from 1 species